AGCAAAUAAUAACAACCAGAUGAAGGAAACUUCUCUAGGUUAUUUGCUUCAGAUCCACACUUCGGAUGAAAAUGGCUGAAAAGGAGGCAGAGAUGGCAGAAGACUAAAGGAAAGCGCCGAGCUGUGACUUGACGCCCAUUCCAAGGGCAGCGUGGCUCUUGUGAGACCAAAAGAAGAGUAGGAAUGAACGCCUGGGUCCUGUGAGCAGCGGGUGGCUUUGCUGAGCUUGGUGCUCUGAGAAGACCAGCCACUUUUGUCCCUGCAGCCGGGGGCCACAGAGCCAGACACCAGACUCACAGCAGCCCGGGAAGUAACGGUCGCUCUGUCUCGUCUGGGAAGAUCUCCGUUGCCAGGGCUUCCUGGACCCGCCCCCGCACAGCUUCCCAGCAGUCCCGAUUCCGCCUGAGGCUCCAGAAGGCGAAGCUGUACAGGAGGCCACUUUUCUUCUCAGCCUAGAACUCGAGAGACCUGAAAGGAAGGACGACUGGCCACAGGAGAUGUUUCACAGAGCCGCUGAAUGAACAACACAGUCAAUUCUGAUCAACUUUCCAGUGCUAUCUGGCCAAAAGCCUACUCCCAAGGGAGUGCUACAGAGAAGAAAAAAUCAUCACAAAACAGGGCAUUAAAACUCUGGGGACACGAAUCUGAAACCACCACAUCACCCCUCCUUAAUUUCAGAGUCUCCCUCCCCAGCCAGGCUUGGAGGGAAAUGUGGAACAUCACUCUGGGAAUCCCUUCCGGACACCAUUAUGUUCUAGUUACUGCCUACGAGGACCUACUUGGUAUUUCUCAUCUUAC
rnacentral:lncRNA from 1 species